CCCAGAGAACAGCUCCCACAAAGCCCGAUCAUCCCCUCUGAAGGACCAGCCUGCAGCUGAGCUCUGGGAUAGGGAAGGAUAAGGAGAUAAAUUGGAAUUUUAAAACCACAUGCAACAUGAGGGAAUGGAUGAAGCACAACCAGACAGAGUGCAGGAGGAAAUUUUAGAUAACCAGGAUUCUGACAGCAGAGGGAUGAUUUCUUGCUAUAAAUGAGGACUCCAGUAAAGCAAUUUCUAUUU